rnacentral:lncRNA from 1 species
GUUUUUUUCAAAAAGACUAACAAUAUCAGGUGUUGGUGAGGAUGUGGAGCAACUGGAAUGAAUGCCUAAACAUUGCUGACACAAGUGUAAAUUGGGAAAACCACUUUGGAAAACUGGUAGUAUUGACUAAAGGUAAUUAAAUGCUUUCCCUUUGACCAAGCAAUUACACACCUGGGUUUAUACCUAAUAGAAAUGAGUUAUCAUAUCCUCCAAAAGAGAGGUACAAGAAUGUUCAUAGUGCCUUUACUCAUAAUAGCCCCCAAAUAGGAAACAACUCAAAUUUUCACCAACAAUACAAUAGAUAAAUUACAGUCUAUGUGUACAAUAGGAUACUACAUAACAAUGAAAGAAGAUAUAGACAAUAUGAAUGUAUCUCACAGCCAUAAUACUGAACAAAAGAAGCCAGAUGCAAUACAGUGCAUACCAUAUGAUUUUAUUUAUAGAAAUCCAAAAACAAGCAAGGUCCAUAGAUGGUGAUAUAGAGCAGAAUUGUGGUUAUCUUUGGGAAGGGGCACAAGAAAUUCUAUAGGGUGCUGAAAAUACAGUUGUCUCUCAGUACAUGCAGAGAUUGGUUCCAGGGCCACACCUGAAGAUACCCACAUCCACACAUACUCAAGUCCCAUAGCUAGCCUUUUGGAACCUGCAGAUACAAAAAGUUGGCCCUCUUUAUAAGUGGGUUUUGCAUCCCACCAAUAUUGUAUUUCUGAUCUGCAUUUGGUUGAAAAAAAUAUGCCUAUAAGUGGACUCACACUAUUAAAAUCCAUGUCAUUCAAGUGUCAACUGUAGCCUGGAUCUCAGUUGAGAUGGUUGGUGCCUACAUGGGUGCACACGAAUGCAAACAUUCAUCAAGCUAUAUGCUUAAGAUAUACGAACUGUUCAACCUCAACGAAAGAAAACAAAGGGAAAAACUCACAAAUACCAUAAAACCGUGGUUCUCAAAAUGUGGUUCCCAGUGCAGCACCAGGGAACAUGUUAGAAAUGCAAAUUCCCUGACCCCAUCACAGACCCACUGAAUCAGAUGGGGAUGGGGUCUAGCAAUCUGUGCUUUAACAAGCCAAGGUAAUUCUGACACAUGCUAAUGUUUAAGCAUCCUUGCCAUAAGAUGUGGGUAUUAUUAGCCCCACUUUGCAUAUUUAAAAAAGCUAAGGCUCAUAGAGAGAAAGUAACAUAUCCAAGUUCAGCCAACUACUAAGAAACUAAGUGUCAUGAGCUGCACAAGAUAAGAUAUAACCAGGCCCAUGCAUGUUUGUGUCUUUUCAUAAGGUCUGAUUUAUUGAUGCUUAUUCAACCAUAAAAGCCACAAGCUACAUGGAGUUCCCAAGAAGGAAAUUCUUAGUACUAUCCAUUUGCUUGGUAGUCAGAGACAUGGCACACAGGCUCAAGCCACAGCAUAGGUCAGUCAAAAUUGCAAAACCAUACAUAGUAGUAUACUCAAUAUAUAAAUGUUACAGAUUACAUCAAACAGAGUAACAUUUAACAUCAAGAGAAGAGGGGUGUAUUAGUCAGGGUUCUCCAGAGGGACAGAACUAACAGGAUAUAUGUAUAUAUGAAAGGGAGUUUAUUAAGGAGAAUUGGCUCACGCAAUCACAAGUUAAAGUCCCACAAUAGGCUAUCUGCAAGUUGAGGAGCAAGGAAGUCAGUGGUGGAUCAGUCUGGGUCCCCAAACCUCAAAACUGGGGAAGCCAACAGUGCAGGCUUCAGUCUGUGGCCAAAGGCCUGAGAGCCCCUGGCAAACCACUGGUGUAAGUCCAAGAGUCCAAAAACUGAAGAACUUGGAGUCUGAUGUUCAAGGGCAGGAAGCAUCCAGCAUGGGAGAAAGAUGAAGGCUGGAAGACUCAGCAAGUCUGCUCUUCCAUCUUCUGCUACCUGCUUUAUUCUAGCAUCACUGGCAGCUGAUUAGAUGGUGCCCACCCAGAUUGAGGGUAGGUCUGCCUCUCCCAGUCCACUGACUCAAAUGUUAAUCUCCUUUGGUAACACAGUCACAGACACACCCAGGAACAAUACUUUGCAUCCUUCAAUCCAAUCAAGUUGACACUCAAUAUUAACCAUCACAAGGGAAUUUAAAAUGGGGUUAAUAAACCAGUCCAAGGAGAGUGACGUGUACAGACAGAGAGUGUCCCAGGCUGAUCUGGAUGGGAGUCAACGUCUUGCAAGGAAGAGUCCUUGAUUUGGGCAGAGACUUCAGCAGCAGUUGCUGGGUGCUGAGGUGCUGAGUGACAGCAAGACAGUGUCUAUUAAGGCAGCCACCUUGAGCUGGUGAAGUUCUAUUCAUUUUAUAGCUCUUGAGUUCGCUGGUAUAAAUUGAUAGUAAAGAAUGUGACUGGUCAUGUCCUUAUCUAGUUGGGUGUAAUCUCUAUUGAUUAGGCAAACAUCCAGUCCCUAUUGGCAUCAUGGCUUUUGAAAUGUAAGAUGGAGUCUUUUUCUAAGAUGGAGUUACUUAUGUCAAGGGUGCUGUAUACACUAAGCUAGCAUUUGAACCCAUAUCUGCCUCAGUCCUGUGCUCCUUUUGCAAAACCACACCGUCUCCCUCUAUAGAAAUAUGGCUUUGCCAAGAGGGAUGUGAUAUGAGGCCAUGUUGUAUCACUUCAUUAAUAAAAACAGGAUUCUACUUCUGGGUUCCUAUAGGCAGACAGGGCAGAAGGGUAUGAAUUUCAAUUUCACAGGUUUUGCAAUGGAGAAGGCCAGCUGAGACCUAUUUCCUUGUUUUUCUAAACUGGUCUGAUGCAGGAAGAGUUCCUGGAGGUGAAGCUGGAAAAAAAGACAGAGCCUAGGAUCUGGCAUGCCUUUUAAACCAUCUUUAGGAGUUUGGACUUGGACCCAGGAGCAACAGGAAAUCCAUCAUCUCUUCCCACUCUGACUCAGCCGCAACUGAAAGGAGAAAACGGCAAGAGAGAGAGAGGCGGGAGGAAGGAACUGAAGACUCCUGAGGUGGCUGCAGCACUGCCCUGGCUUCCAGAAAGCUCUCGAGCAUGCUGGGUCUCCUCAGGGACCAAGAAGACGAGGUGCGGAAGCUGCUGCUGGGUAACAGCCUUAGUCAUAAAAGUAACACUGUGAAAAAUCCAUUUUGUGGGUAACAAUGAGAAGUUAAUACAAAGACUCAUUGCCCUUCGUUAGUAAAAACUUUGGCAGUGACCUUCCAGGCUCCCGGGAAGCCUUUGGAGAAUGCUGCUUCAACCCAGAAGCACUUCAUCAUUUAUAUGAAUGAAAAUGAGUGCAAACAGAUUGUCGAGAUGUCUGUUCACAUCACCUCUUUUUUCUUGCAAGGAAUCCCCUCUGUAAUUACAUUUUGCCUGUCAGUUCAUAAAUUUUUCUUAUUACAAACUAGCCAUUAUUGAUUGCUUUUUAAAAGUACUAAAACUGG